UUUAUAUAAAAAUGAAUGCUCGCAUCUGUCCUAGCAUUGGUGUACAGAGUUACCGGUACCUUUUGCUGGUGGGAGGUGGUAAGGUAUCCUGUAGAAUUAGUCGAGGUGCACGAAAGUUGGCCCGGACACCACGGCCAUCAAAAGGAAAUUAUUGAUGUUGGGGAAACCCUGUGAUGGGAAUUUCAUUUACACUUACGUCAACUUCAACUUGAUGAAGUGAACGACUCUACCCGUUUGGUAAACAAUUCUAAAA
rnacentral:misc_RNA from 1 species